rnacentral:rRNA from 1 species
UACGAAGGGGGCUAGCGUUGCUCGGAAUUACUGGGCGUAAAGGGCUCGUAGGCGGCCAACUAAGUCCGACGUGAAAUCCCCAGGCUUAACCUGGGAACUGCGUCGGAUACUGGAUGGCUUGAAUUCGGGAGAGGGAUGCAGAAUUCCAGGUGUAGCGGUGAAAUGCGUAGAUAUCUGGAGGAAUACCGGUGGCGAAGGCGGCAUCCUGGACCGACAUUGACGCUGAGGAGCGAAAGCUAGGGGAGCAAACGGG